rnacentral:rRNA from 1 species
CCCCUUCGGGGGUACUCGAGUGGCGAACGGGUGAGUAACACGUGGGCAAUCUGCCCUGCACUUCGGGAUAAGCCUGGGAAACUGGGUCUAAUACCGGAUAGGACCUUUAGACGCAUGUCUUUUGGUGGAAAGCUUUUGCGGUGUGGGAUGGGCCCGCGGCCUAUCAGCUUGUUGGUGGGGUGAUGGCCUACCAAGGCGACGACGGGUAGCCGGCCUGAGAGGGUGUCCGGCCACACUGGGACUGAGAUACGGCCCAGACUCCUACGGGAGGCAGCAGUGGGGAAUAUUGCACAAUGGGCGCAAGCCUGAUGCAGCGACGCCGCGUGGGGGAUGACGGCCUUCGGGUUGUAAACCUCUUUCACCAUCGACGAAGGUUCGGGUUUUCUCGGACUGACGGUAGGUGGAGAAGAAGCACCGGCCAACUACGUGCCAGCAGCCGCGGUAAUACGUAGGGUGCGAGCGUUGUCCGGAAUUACUGGGCGUAAAGAGCUCGUAGGUGGUUUGUCGCGUUGUUCGUGAAAUCUCACGGCUUAACUGUGAGAGCGGGUAAUGCCGGGGACUCGUGAGAGACUGCCGGGGUCAACUCGGAGGAAGGUGGGGAUGACGUCAAGUCAUCAUGCCCCUUAUGUCCAGGGCUUCACACAUGCUACAAUGGCCGGUACAAAGGGCUGCGAUGCCGCAAGGUUAAGCGAAUCCUUUUAAAGCCGGUCUCAGUUCGGAUUGGGGUCUGCAACUCGACCCCAUGAAGUCGGAGUCGCUAGUAAUCGCAGAUCAGCAACGCUGCGGUGAAUACGUUCCCGGGCCUUGUACACACCGCCCGUCACGUCAUGAAAGUCGGUAACACCCGAAGCCAGUGGCCUAACCUUUUGGAGGGAGCUGUCGAAGGUGGGAUC